UACGUAGGGCGCAAGCGUUGUCCGGAUUCACUGGGUGUAAAGGGUGCGUAGGCGGGAAGGUAAGUCCGCGGUGAAAUCUCACGGCUCAACUGUGAAACUGCCGUUGAUACUGCUUUUCUUGAGUUCGGGAGAGGUUGAUGGAAUUCCAGGUGUAGCGGUGAAAUGCGUAGAUAUCUGGAAGAACACCAGUGGCGAAGGCGGUCAACUGGCCCGUAACUGACGCUGAGGCACGAAAGCGUGGGGAGCGAACAGG
rnacentral:rRNA from 1 species